rnacentral:lncRNA from 1 species
GGCAGUAUGCUUGGUAAAAGUCAUCGCCAUUCUCUAAUCUUGAGUACCCAGGGACACGAUACACUGCGGAAGGCUGCAGGGACCUCUGCCCAGGAAAGCCAGGAGCCAGAAAAACUUCAUCUCUUUUACAAGAAACAUUGAGAUUCCUGUAAAAUUAAGAAAUCACACAAUUUGAUGGUCUACAUUAUCUAAAGCAAAUGAGACUUCUAUUUGGAACAAAGACUACCUUGUUGGGAAAUGAGUCUGCAAGUUAAAGUGUUUUCUGUUUUCUAAGGAUAAUGGUCUCCAGCUUCGUCAAUGUUCCUGCAAAGGACAUGAUGCUGACUUUGAAGAUGCAAGCUUCCACAUCUACAGCCUCAAGGAAACAAAUUCAGCCAACCAACUGAGGGAGCUUUCCUUGUCCUGCCUCAAGAUGAGAUCACAGUCUGCCCAACACCAUGAUUUAGGCCUUGUGACACCUGGUAUGGAAGACCCAGUUAAGUUCUCUCCAAACUCUUGACCCACAGAACCUGUGAGAAAAUAUAUGGAUAUUAUUUUAAACUGCUAAAUUUGUAGUAAUUUGUUAUGCAGCAAUAAAAAAAACUAAUGCAAGGAGAUAUCAAUUAUUGUAAAAAGCUUAGCUUUUGUUUUAAAAUAUAGUUCACCAGUAGUAAGUUACUAAUAAGUAACUAAACAAAUAAAAGCAAGCCAUUUACAAAUCAAUAAUAAGAGUAAGUCAUGAACUAAAGAUUGUAAUUAAUCAAUUUCUGUACGCCUGUAAUGAAAAUAAAGGAGGAAAAGAAAAUGAAAGAAAA